ACUCCUGCGGGAGGCAGCAGUGGGGAAUUUUGGACAAUGGGCGAAAGCCUGAUCCAGCCAUGCCGCGUGCAGGAUGAAGGCCUUCGGGUUGUAAACUGCUUUUGUACGGAACGAAACGGCCUUUUCUAAUAAAGAGGGCUAAUGACGGUACCGUAAGAAUAAGCACCGGCUAACUACGUGCCAGCAGCCGCGGUAAUACGUAGGGUGCAAGCGUUAAUCGGAAUUACUGGGCGUAAAGCGUGCGCAGGCGGUUAUGUAAGACAGUUGUGAAAUCCCCGGGCUCAACCUGGGAACUGCAUCUGUGACUGCAUAGCUAGAGUACGGUAGAGGGGGAUGGAAUUCCGCGUGUAGCAGUGAAAUGCGUAGAUAUGCGGAGGAACACCGAUGGCGAAGGCAAUCCCCUGGACCUGUACUGACGCUCAUGCACGAAAGCGUGGGGAGCAAACAGGAUUAGAUACCCGAGUAGUCC
rnacentral:rRNA from 1 species